rnacentral:rRNA from 1 species
AUCAACUUUCGAUGGUAGGAUAGAGGCCUACCAUGGUGGUAACGGGUAACGGGGUGUUAGGGCACGACACCGGAGAGGGAGCCUGAGAAACGGCUACCACAUCCAAGGAUGGCAGCAGGCGCGCAAAUUACCCAAUCCCGACACGGGGAGGUAGUGACAAUAAAUAACAAUACGGGGUCCUUUCGGGUUUCGUAAUUGGAAUGAGUACAAUUUAAAUCUCUUAACGAGGAACAAUUGGAGGGCAAGUCUGGUGCCAGCAGCCGCGGUAAUUCCAGCUCCAAUAGCGUAUAUUAAAGUUGUUGCAGUUAAAAAGCUCGUAGUUGAAUUUCGGGACUAGUACGCUGGUCGUGCCUUCGGUAUGUACUGGUGUUACUGGUUCCUACCUUCUGACGAACCGUCAUGUCAUUAAUUUGGUGUGGCGGGGAAUCAGGACUGUUACUUUGAAAAAAUUAGAGUGUUUAAAGCAGGCUCGCGCUUGAAUACAUUAGCAUGGAAUAAUGAAAUAGGACGUUCGAUCCUAUUUUGUUGGUUUCUAGGAUUGACGUAAUGAUUAAUAGGGAUAGUUGGAGGCAUUAGUAUUCAAUUGUCAGAGGUGAAAUUCUUGGAUUUAUUGAAGACUAACUACUGCGAAAGCAUUUGCCAAGGAUGUUUUCAUUAAUCAAGAACGAAAGUUAGGGGAUCGAAGACGAUCAGAUACCGUCGUAGUCUUAACCAUAAACUAUGCCGACUAGGGAUCGGAUGAUGUUAUUUUUAAUGACUCAUUCGGCGCCUUACGGGAAACCAAAGUGUUUGGGUUC